CCUACGGGUGGCAGCAGUGGGGAAUAUUGCACAAUGGGGGAAACCCUGAUGCAGCGACGCCGCGUGAGUGAAGAAGUAUUUCGGUAUGUAAAGCUCUAUCAGCAGGAACGAGACAAGACGGUACCUGACUAAGAAGCCCCGGCUAACUACGUGCCAGCAGCCGCGGUAAUACGUAGGGGGCAAGCGUUAUCCGGAAUCACUGGGUGUAAAGGGAGCGUAGACGGCUGAGCAAGCCUGAAGUGAAAGGCGGGGGACCAACCCCUGGACUGCUUUGGGAACUGUACGGCUGGAGUGCAGGAGAGGUAAGUGGGAUUCCUAGUGUAGUGGUGAAAUGCGUAGAUAUUAGGAGGAACACCAGUGGCGAAGGCGGCUUACUGGACUGUAACUGACGUUGAGGCUCGAAAGCGUGGGGAGCAAACAGGAUUAGAUACCCCAGUAGUC
rnacentral:rRNA from 1 species